rnacentral:lncRNA from 1 species
AGAUACAUAAGGAAUCAGCCAUCAGGGUUUCUAGGACAGACAGCUGAAGGGCCUGGCUCUCACCAGGUCUGCAGGGGGCCCCAAGCUGUGUGCACACCAGGCCUUCACCUCCUGGCCACCCUGCAGGGUAAGCGUGGCCGUCCUGAGCUCUGGAGGAGGACAGGAAGCCAGCGCCGUGACUGGGGCCCGGCCCACUGUCGCAGCUGACAGUCUGCAGCCUGUGUGAGCACAGCGCGCGCCCCCUUCCCGGUCACCUCGCCCUGGUGUGGAUCCCAGAGCCGCCUCUGCCUCUGGAUGAGUCAGAGCGUGCGCAGGGCAGGGCCGCCUGCUGAGCUUCGGGCAGAGAUAAACGCAUCUCACCCUGUCAGCCAGUUCGUGGAUACCGGGGCCCGCCUAGACCCGCCCUCCAGAGGCGAGGCGGCUUCACCCUCAGGUGACGGCGGGCGGGGCUGGGAUUUCGGGUCUGUCUAUCGAUCCCCACCGGGCAGGCGCAGUGAGGCCAGAGCGCAGGAGGGGAGCCAGAGGCUGAGCCCGCGAGCCCUCAUCUCCGCCCCGGGCCCUCGGGGAGCCGGCGCUGCCUCCCGCCCUCAGUCAGACUCCACUGCUUGGAAGUUCAAGCGUAGCCAAAAGGAAGCAGAUUUCAAAACACACCUCUGCCUGCCCCGCGACUCCUCCGCCCGCCCUCCCCGAGCUGAUUCCGGCUCCAGUCCCCCCUCUCCCCCCGCAGAGGCCUGGGUGCAGGGGCUGGGUGCAGGGGGUAGGGGAGCGGUCAGCUCACCUGCGGCUGCAGCUGUCCCUUCUCCAGUGCACGGGGCCCUGGUGACAGGGCUGAGGCCCGGAGGUCAGCGAGGCUGGGACCUGCCUUCUGCCUUUGCCGUAUUUGCUAGGGUUUUCUGUUUUUUGCUUUUUUUUUUUUUUUACACAGAGACUCACUGUGUCUCAGUAUGUAGCCCACGCUAGCCUCAAACUCAAGGUGAUUCUCCCGCCUCAGCCUCCUGAAUGCUGGCAUUACAGGUGUGUGCCACCAGGUGUGAAUCUGGAAGAGUGGAAUGUGGGGCUCCUGUGGGGUUCCUCGAGCCCCCCUGGCUGGGUAUGAGGGAAGGUCAAGGACAGAAGCCCAAACGCUGGCUUCAGGGCUAGACUCCACCCGGCUGCUGUGCUCCUCGGUGAGUUGCUGGCCCUCUCUGAGCUGUGCAGAACAGGCACGAUGCCUCCCUCCCCCGCUGACCCUCUGGGACUUCGAAUGCUCCCCUAAAAUAUGACGGCACCCCACCCUCAGGCCGGCACACCGGUGCCCAGCGCAGGGGCGGGGGAGGGGCCCUGGACCUGAUUGCUAAGCCGCUGGCAGCCCGGGUAUCAGGACUCCGCCUCUUUGUGCUCAGUCUCCCGCCUGGACAAUGACACGGGGCUUCUUCCCCCCGCCCCCCACCUCAGCCAGCCCUUAGCGGACAUUGAGCAGGUCAGAGGAGAGGCGAAUGAUUCAGGAAGGAGAGAGGGAGAGGGACGCGGUGACUUCAGCCCGGGUGGGAUGGGCAGGGCCGGCCUGCCCCUCCGCAAAGGGGAAACUGAGGCUCGGGGUCAAGCCCAGCAGCCCCGGAAAGGCCUGGCCCCUCGAGGGAGGCGACACCGAGCAGGGAGGAGCGGGAGGU